rnacentral:rRNA from 1 species
AGAGUUUGAUCCUGGCUCAGGAUGAACGCUGGCGGCGUGCCUAACACAUGCAAGUCGAGCGAAGCGAUUUUGAGGAAGUUUUCGGAUGGAAUCGAAAUUGACUUAGCGGCGGACGGGUGAGUAACACGUGGGUAAUCUGCCUUAUACAGGGGGAUAACAGUUAGAAAUGACUGCUAAUACCGCAUAAGCGCACGGGAACGCAUGUUUCUGUGUGAAAAACUCCGGUAGUAUAAGAUGAGCCCGCGUCUGAUUAGCUGGUUGGUGGGGUAACGGCCUACCAAGGCGACGAUCAGUAGCCGGCCUGAGAGGGUGAACGGCCACAUUGGGACUGAGACACGGCCCAAACUCCUACGGGAGGCAGCAGUGGGGAAUAUUGCACAAUGGGGGAAACCCUGAUGCAGCGACGCCGCGUGAGUGAAGAAGUAUUUCGGUAUGUAAAGCUCUAUCAGCAGGGAAGAAAAAAAGACGGUACCUGACUAAGAAGCCCCGGCUAACUACGUG